UGGACAUUUAAGAAACUCCAAUGGCUCCAUCUUAGUCUGCAGUCCAUGAGGAACUGCUGAUAUCUGGUGUUGCUGGCGGGAGAGACUGACCCUCUGAAGCGGCUGGUCACAAACCCCGGCCCCGGAUCAGAACCCUGGAUCAGGAGCUGUCACUCUUCUUUCCCGAGUCAGAACCAGGACUGAACCGCGAGGAACAAAGACUCCACCACCACACAGAACACAACCAGUGGACAGGUGGACUGAACAACCUCAGUCCUGGUGGUCAUCAGAGAGACAGAGGCUCCAGUCAGGGAUCCAGUCUGCAGCCCAGACCCUUCUCUUCACAGUCUCAGUGCAGGGAUGAAGCAGGGCCUGGGGUUGAUAGAGAUAGACCCUCCUGUUCCUAUGAUGCAAACACCACAGUAUCCAUGAUGAACAGAGCAGGUCACCCUGGGCUUCAGCCUUCACAGAGGGUGGUGGGAGACCCCCUGGUGGUAGGCUUUCAGGAGGUGCCUAGUGUCUCAGUUCAUAGAAAGCCUGGGCUUGGACCUGGGUCUAGCUUUCCUCAGCUACCGCAUGGUUACCGCACCGAUACAGACCAGGUCAGGAUGGGCGUUCACCAGGAGAGGUACGUAGCCUAUAACACAACACACAAUCCCAACAACAUCCAAACAAUGGCAAGAGGUCAAGGAGGGAGCUGAAAGACUAACCACCUGAGGGUGGUGACUCCUGCUUCUACCUCUGGUGUAAUUGGGUCUCAACGUUGGAGUCGAGCAUUAGGACGGACGCAGACAAGCCGUACAGCUGCUCCACGUGUGGGAAGAGCUUUACUUAGGCGACCUAUGUGAAAAAGCAACAGACCGUUCACACCAAGGGCAGGCCCUUCAAGUGCAAACUAUGUUACAAGAGCUUCUCCUACCUGACUAAGCUUACCAGACAUAAGUGUCCACAAUGGGGAGAAAUCGUAGCAUUGUGGCUUUAGCUGACAUAUUAUAGUCAUCAUGUGAAGUGUCUUGGAGUAAGAGUUUUUUGGAUUACUAAAUCCCUCAGUUGAGCAUCUGGGCAUGCCGUCUUUCUCACAUUAUACAUA
ensembl:lncRNA